rnacentral:tRNA from 1 species
GCUACAGGCCGUGAAAGCACUGGAUAGUACGCCUGGCUACGAACCAGGUGGUCGGAGGUUCGACUCCUUCCUGGCGCACCA